rnacentral:rRNA from 1 species
GACGAACGCUGGCGGCGUGCCUAAUACAUGCAAGUUGAGCGAUGAAGAUUGGUGCUUGCACCAAUUUGAAGAGCAGCGAACGGGCGAGUAACGCGUGGGGAAUCUGCCUUUGAGCGGGGGACAACAUUUGGAAACGAAUGCUAAUACCGCAUAACAACUUUAAACAUAAGUUUUAAGUUUGAAAGAUGCAAUUGCAUCACUCAAAGAUGAUCUCGCGUUGUAUUAGCUAGUUGGUGAGGUAAAGGCUCACCAAGGCGAUGAUACAUAGCCGACCUGAGAGGGUGAUCGGCCACAUUGGGACUGGGACAAGGCCCAAACUCCUACGGGAGGCAGCAGUAGGGGAUCUUCGGCAAUGGACGAAAGUCUGACCGGGCAACGCCGCGUGAGUGAAGAAGGUUUUCGGAUCGUAAAACUCUGUUGGUAGAGAAGAACGUUGGUGGGAGUGGAAAGCUCAUCAAGUGACGGUAACUACCCAGAAAGGGACGGCUAACUACGUG